CCAUGUCUAAGACACGCAUAUCAUCAGGUAUGGGGUGGGGAGAAGAGAAAAGGAAGGGUGGAAUCUUCUCCUGUCGAGUAAACAAUUGGAAGCAAGAAACUUUGGUUUUUAUUUCUUUGGAGUUCUCUUGUUAGAACAGCAGUACUAUGACAAGGAAAGCAGUUGCCAACCUUUUUGCAUGAGGAUGUGAGAGACAAAAAACUCAUGGCAAC
rnacentral:lncRNA from 1 species